rnacentral:rRNA from 1 species
UACGUAGGGUGCAAGCGUUAUCCGGAAUUAUUGGGCGUAAAGAGCUCGUAGGCGGUUUGUCGCGUCUGCUGUGAAAACUGGAGGCUCAACCUCCAGCCUGCAGUGGGUACGGGCAAACUAGAGUGCGGUAGGGGAGAUUGGAAUUCCUGGUGUAGCGGUGGAAUGCGCAGAUAUCAGGAGGAACACCGGUGGCGAAGGCGGGUCUCUGGGCCGAUACUGACACUGAGGAGCGAAAGCGUGGGGAGCGAACAGG